rnacentral:rRNA from 1 species
UACACUCCUACGGGAGGCAGCAGUGGGGAAUUUUGGACAAUGGGCGAAAGCCUGAUCCAGCAAUGCCGCGUGUGUGAAGAAGGCCUUCGGGUUGUAAAGCACUUUUGUCCGGAAAGAAAUCCUUGGCUCUAAUACAGUCGGGGGAUGACGGUACCGGAAGAAUAAGCACCGGCUAACUACGUGCCAGCAGCCGCGGUAAUACGUAGGGUGCGAGCGUUAAUCGGAAUUACUGGGCGUAAAGCGUGCGCAGGCGGUUUGCUAAGACCGAUGUGAAAUCCCCGGGCUCAACCUGGGAACUGCAUUGGUGACUGGCAGGCUAGAGUAUGGCAGAGGGGGGUAGAAUUCCACGUGUAGCAGUGAAAUGCGUAGAGAUGUGGAGGAAUACCGAUGGCGAAGGCAGCCCCCUGGGCCAAUACUGACGCUCAUGCACGAAAGCGUGGGGAGCAAACAGGAUUAGAAACCCCUGUAGUCCCAUGA